rnacentral:rRNA from 1 species
UACGUAGGGGGCUAGCGUUGUCCGGAAUCAUUGGGCGUAAAGGGCUCGUAGGCGGCCAACUAAGUCAGACGUGAAAUCCCUCGGCUUAACCGGGGAACUGCGUCUGAUACUGGAUGGCUUGAGAUUGGGAGAGGGAUGCGGAAUUCCAGGUGUAGCGGUGAAAUGCGUAGAUAUCUGGAGGAACACCGGUGGCGAAGGCGGCAUCCUGGACCAACACUGACGCUGAGGAGCGAAAGCCAGGGGAGCAAACGGG